rnacentral:rRNA from 1 species
UACGUAGGGGGCAAGCGUUGUCCGGAAUCAUUGGGCGUAAAGCGCGCGUAGGCGGCCCGAUCAGUCCGCUGUAAAAGUCCAGGGCUCAACCCUGGAAAGCCGGUGGAUACUGUCGGGCUAGAGUCCGGAAGAGGCGAGUGGAAUUCCUGGUGUAGCGGUGAAAUGCGCAGAUAUCAGGAGGAACACCAGCGGCGAAGGCAGCUCUCUGGGACGGUACUGACACUGAGACGCGAAAGCGUGGGGAGCGAACAGG